UUCUGAUUCAUGUGAUCCCCUCCAAGC
rnacentral:piRNA from 2 species